CUUGGUCAUUUUAACCUCAUUCGUAUGGGUAUGGCCUGUUCAAAUGAGCCAUAAUAAUAUUAGCAUAGAAAAUUGCAUUUUGUUCAUGUAAUGAAGCACAAACUAUUAGACCACUUGGCCAGACCCCAGAUUUGUUGAAAUGAGAGACUGGGCAUUGUAAUUUUAAUGAAAGCAUUGUGAGAAUUAUCGGUGUUCUAUCAAUAGGCAUAGCAUCAUUAAGAAAAAGCUAACUGCAACUACUGUAGGCCAGGAUAUACAAAGGCACUGUUAUAAAUGUGUCUAAUUUGACCCAUAUUCAUCAUUCAUUAAUAAUAUCAAUUUUACUUAGGAUUAUGUUGAUGAGCAAUCUUUUGCUUUUUCAAAUUUAGAGGGCUAUAUAUAACAAACCAGUCAUUGGUGACGCUAGAUGAUCUUCAUUCAAGAUUCAUUAUCGUAAAGGAAUCAUCGGCAAGAAAUGGUCUUUUCAUUGGCUGAUAAAAAUGAACCUUGGGUAGAUGUUUGCCAGGUUGUAUAUUUCUUGUAGCCUUUGACUUGCACAAGGAAAAGAAAAUAUAUGCUGAAACUACAUGCUAGACGAUGAACUCAUUGUUGAAGAACAUAUUAGUUAUGUUUAUAUAGAAAAAGAACACUGUAAAGUCACCUUGUACUGGACAGAGUAAUGUAAUAAGUGCAGAGCUCGGCACAACUAAUCUACAUUACCAUUUGCAGUUUAACCCAUUGAGUCGCAUUGCACUCUGACGCACCCUACUUUAGUGUUUUACUCCGUCUAAUGCCAGACGAUUUUACUCGUCAAGGGGAGAGCGCUGGCGCUUAAUGGGUUAAAUGGUAAUAAAUGUGAUAUUUUACAUUCAUCCAGCUUUACAGUCUUACAUUUUGAGGAGCAUUGCAGUACAAAACUUAAAUGUACCCUACUAACCUACUGCCCUUUCCUUAUAUUACUCUAUCCAAUAGCAUAUAAGGUUAUAUUUCAUUAAGGGGUGAGUCUUAUUUAAUAGUUUG